UAGUUGUUAUAGCAAAUCCACCUGCGUCCAUCUGGGCGCCCAUGGGCGUGCUGGUCUUACAGGGAGGUGUGUUCAGGUGCAUUCUGGGAGUAUUGCUAUCUUAAGGCAACGGGAAGUGAUCGCACCAUUGA